GACGAACGCUGGCGGCGUGCCUAAUACAUGCAAGUCGAACGCAUUUUCUUUCACCGUAGCUUGCUACACCGAAAGAAAAUGAGUGGCGAACGGGUGAGUAACACGUUGGUAACCUGCCCAUCAGCGGGGGAUAACACUUGGAAACAGGUGCUAAUACCGCAUAAUUCCAUUUACCGCAUGGUAAAUGGAUGAAAGGCGCUUUUGCGUCACUGAUGGAUGGACCCGCGGUGCAUUAGCUAGUUGGUGGGGUAACGGCCUACCAAGGCUGCGAUGCAUAGCCGACCUGAGAGGGUGAUCGGCCACACUGGGACUGAGACACGGCCCAGACUCCUACGGGAGGCAGCAGUAGGGAAUCUUCGGCAAUGGACGCAAGUCUGACCGAGCAACGCCGCGUGAGUGAAGAAGGUUUUCGGAUCGUAAAACUCUGUUGUUAGAGAAGAACAAGGAUGAGAGUGGAAAGUUCAUCCCUUGACGGUAUCUAACCAGAAAGCCACGGCUAACUACGUG
rnacentral:rRNA from 1 species